rnacentral:rRNA from 1 species
GACGAACGCUGGCGGCGUGCUUAACACAUGCAGGUCGAACGAAGAGCGAUGGAAGCUUGCUUCUAUCAAUCUUAGUGGCGAACGGGUGAGUAACGCGUAAUCAACCUGCCCUUCAGAGGGGGACAACAGUUGGAAACGACUGCUAAUACCGCAUACGAUCUAAUCUCGGCAUCGAGGAUAGAUGAAAGGUGGCCUCUACAUGUAAGCUAUCACUGAAGGAGGGGAUUGCGUCUGAUUAGCUAGUUGGAGGGGUAACGGCCCACCAAGGCGAUGAUCAGUAGCCGGUCUGAGAGGAUGAACGGCCACAUUGGGACUGAGACACGGCCCAGACUCCUACGGGAGGCAGCAGUGGGGAAUCUUCCGCAAUGGACGAAAGUCUGACGGAGCAACGCCGCGUGAGCGAUGACGGCCUUCGGGUUGUAAAGCUCUGUUAAUCGGGACGAAAGGCCUUCUUGCGAAUAGUGAGAAGGAUUGACGGUACUGGAAUAGAAAGCCACGGCUAACUACGUG